GGGGGGUGGGAGGUUGGGGUACCAGGUGGUGGGUACUAAGGAGGGCAGUAUUGCAUGAACACUGGAUGUGGUGCAUAAACAAUGAAUCUUGGGACACUGAAAAAAAAAUAAAAUUAA